CCUACGGGAGGCAGCAGUGGGGAAUUUUCCGCAAUGGGCGAAAGCCUGACGGAGCAAUACCGCGUGAGGGAGGAAGGCUCUUGGGUUGUAAACCUCUUUUCUCAGGGAAGAAUACAAUGACGGUACCUGAGGAAUAAGCAUCGGCUAACUCCGUGCCAGCAGCCGCGGUAAUACGGAGGAUGCAAGCGUUAUCCGGAAUGAUUGGGCGUAAAGCGUCCGCAGGUGGCAUUGCAAGUCUGCUGUCAAAGGUCAGGGCUUAACCCUGAAAAGGCAGUGGAAACUGAAAUGCUGGAGUGCGGUAGGGGUAGAGGGAAUUCCCGGUGUAGCGGUGAAAUGCGUAGAGAUCGGGAAGAACACCAGUGGCGAAAGCGCUCUACUAGGCCGCAACUGACACUCAUGGACGAAAGCUAGGGGAGCGAAUGGGAUUAGAUACCCCAGUA
rnacentral:rRNA from 1 species